UAGGGAAUCUUCCACAAUGGACGCAAGUCUGAUGGAGCAACGCCGCGUGAGUGAAGAAGGUUUUCGGAUCGUAAAGCUCUGUUGUUGGUGAAGAAGGAUAGAGGCAGUAACUGGUCUUUAUUUGACGGUAAUCAACCAGAAAGUCACGGCUAACUACGUGCCAGCAGCCGCGGUAAUACGUAGGUGGCAAGCGUUGUCCGGAUUUAUUGGGCGUAAAGCGAGCGCAGGCGGAAUGAUAAGUCUGAUGUGAAAGCCCACGGCUCAACCGUGGAACUGCAUCGGAAACUAUCAUUCUUGAGUGCAGAAGAGGAGAGUGGAAUUCCAUGUGUAGCGGUGGAAUGCGUAGAUAUAUGGAAGAGCACCAGUGGCGAAGGCGGCUCUCUGGUCUGCAACUGACGCUGAGGCUCGAAAGCAUGGGUAGCGAACAGG
rnacentral:rRNA from 1 species